AUUGAACGCUGGCGGCAUGCUUUACACAUGCAAGUCGAACGGUAACAGGCCGCAAGGUGCUGACGAGUGGCGAACGGGUGAGUAAUGCAUCGGAACGUGCCCAGUCGUGGGGGAUAACGCAGCGAAAGCUGCGCUAAUACCGCAUACGAUCUCUGGAUGAAAGCGGGGGACCGAAAGGCCUCGCGCGAUUGGAGCGGCCGAUGUCAGAUUAGGUAGUUGGUGGGGUAAAGGCCCACCAAGCCAACGAUCUGUAGCUGGUCUGAGAGGACGACCAGCCACACUGGGACUGAGACACGGCCCAGACUCCUACGGGAGGCAGCAGUGGGGAAUUUUGGACAAUGGGGGCAACCCUGAUCCAGCCAUUCCGCGUGAGUGAAGAAGGCCUUCGGGUUGUAAAGCUCUUUCGGCAGGAACGAAACGGCGAGCUCUAACAUAGCUUGCUAAUGACGGUACCUGAAGAAGAAGCACCGGCUAACUACGUGCCAGCCGCCGCAGUAACAC
rnacentral:rRNA from 1 species